AGCAGCAGAGAAGUGACAAUGCCAGUGGCUCCCUUCUCAACCUCUCCACCAGAGUAGAAGAAUCCUAUAUGCCAUCCUCUGGCAGGUGAUUACUGUACAACAGGAAAAGUGGCAACAGGAGGUGACAAAAUAAAUGAUCUCACA